rnacentral:tRNA from 1 species
GUCCCUGUAGCGCAAUGGAUAACGUGUUGAACUGCUAAUCCAAAGAUCGUGGGUUCGAAUCCUACCUGGGAUG